rnacentral:rRNA from 1 species
GACGAACGCUGGCGGCGUGCCUAAUACAUGCAAGUAGAACGCUGAAGGAGGAGCUUGCUUCUCUGGAUGAGUUGCGAACGGGUGAGUAACGCGUAGGUAACCUGCCUGGUAGCGGGGGAUAACUAUUGGAAACGAUAGCUAAUACCGCAUAAUAGCAGUUAUUGCAUGAUAACUGUUUGAAAGGUGCACUUGCACCACUACCAGAUGGACCUGCGUUGUAUUAGCUAGUUGGUGGGGUAACGGCUCACCAAGGCGACGAUACAUAGCCGACCUGAGAGGGUGAUCGGCCACACUGGGACUGAGACACGGCCCAGACUCCUACGGGAGGCAGCAGUAGGGAAUCUUCGGCAAUGGACGGAAGUCUGACCGAGCAACGCCGCGUGAGUGAAGAAGGUUUUCGGAUCGUAAAGCUCUGUUGUAAGAGAAGAACGAGUGUGAGAGUGGAAAGUUCACACUGUGACGGUAUCUUACCAGAAAGGGACGGCUAACUACGUG